UUUUUUUCUUGACAACUGAUUGUUUACUUCCAGUUUUCGCGAUUUUCGUCUGCUUUAUCGUCUGCAUUAUCUAAUAUAAAUCUUAUCAUGGACGAAGAAAUAAAGAAAGGAACCCGUGCACUCGUUAUGAAACCUAUAAAAAAAUAUAAAAAAAAAAAUAUAUCUGGAGUCAAUGGAACAGUAUACAGAUCAGUACGCGUUGCAAAGAAAAACGGCCGUAGCAACACAACUCGCAACAAAUAGGCCACGC
rnacentral:lncRNA from 1 species